rnacentral:rRNA from 2 species
GGGUUAUGGACGAGUCUGAUGGAGCACGCCGCGUGAGCGAUGAAGGCCUUCGGGUCGUAAAGCUCUGUUGUUAGGGAAGAACAAGUACCGGAGUAACUGCCGGUACCUUGACGGUACCUAACCAGAAAGCCACGGCUAACUACGUGCCAGCAGCCGCGGUAAUACGUAGGUGGCAAGCGUUGUCCGGAAUUAUUGGGCGUAAAGCGCGCGCAGGCGGUCCUUUAAGUCUGAUGUGAAAGCCCACGGCUCAACCGUGGAGGGUCAUUGGAAACUGGGGGACUUGAGUGCAGAAGAGGAAAGCGGAAUUCCACGUGUAGCGGUGAAAUGCGUAGAGAUGUGGAGGAACACCAGUGGCGAAGGCGGCUUUCUGGUCUGUAACUGACGCUGAGGCGCGAAAGCGUGGGGAGCAAACAGGAUUAGAUACCCUGGUAGUCCACGCCGUAAACGAUGAGUGCUAAGUGUUAGAGGGUUUCCGCCCUUUAGUGCUGCAGCUAACGCAUUAAGCACUCCGCCUGGGGAGUACGGCCGCAAGGCUGAAACUCAAAGAAAUUGACGGA